rnacentral:rRNA from 1 species
UCAGUACGUGACUGCGGAGGAUCAUUGUCGAACCUGCCCAGCAGAGCGACCCGUGAACAUGUUCAACCUCGUGGGGGACGGGGCGUUGCUCGGUGCCUCGUGCGCCUGCUCGCCCCCCUCCCAGGCCGGGGAGCGCUCACUGUGGGCUGUUUCCCCGGCCAAACAACGAACCCCGGCGCGUAAGCGUCAAGGAAUAUAAACUUAAUGUGUGUGCUCUCCCGCUGCCCGGUUAGCCGGGCGUUGGAGCUGUGCCAUGUCUUAACAAUAAACGACUCUCGGCAACGGAUAUCUCGGCUCUCGCAUCGAUGAAGAACGUAGCGAAAUGCGAUACUUGGUGUGAAUUGCAGAAUCCCGUGAACCAUCGAGUUUUUGAACGCAAGUUGCGCCCGAAGCCUCCGGCUGAGGGCACGUCUGCCUGGGCGUCACGCAUCGCGUCUCCCCCAUACCCACCUCGGUGGAGGGGAAGGAGGAUGGUUUCCCGCGACUCACCGGUCGCGGCUGGCCUAAAAUUGGAGCCCUCGGCAUCGGUAUGCCGCGGCGAUAGGUGGUGAACAAGGCCUCGGCCAAGCAAGCAACCCGUCGCGCGUGCCGUGCCAACGUGGGCUCGGAGGACCCUUCGGCGUUGCCUAACGGCAACCAAACGUGCGACCCCAGGUCAGGCGGGGCUACCGUGAUUA